rnacentral:rRNA from 1 species
CGAGAGGGUGCAAGCGUUAAUCGGAAUUACGUGGGCGUAAAGCGCGCGUAGGUGGUUUGUUAAGUUGGAUGUGAAAGCCCCGGGCUCAACCUGGGAACUGCAUUCAAAACUGACAAGCUAGAGUAUGGUAGAGGGUGGUGGAAUUUCCUGUGUAGCGGUGAAAUGCGUAGAUAUAGGAAGGAACACCAGUGGCGAAGGCGACCACCUGGACUGAUACUGACACUGAGGUGCGAAAGCGUGGGGAGCAAACAGAUUAGAUACCCUGGUAGUCCACGCCGUAAACGAUGUCAACUAGCCGUUGGGGACCUUGAGUCUUUAGUGGCGCAGCUAACGCAUUAAGUUGACCGCCUGGGGAGUACGGCCGCAAGGUUA